CCUACGGGUGGCUGCAGUGGGGAAUAUUGGGCAAUGGGCGCAAGCCUGACCCAGCAACGCCGCGUGAAGGAAGAAGGCUUUCGGGUUGUACACUUCUUUUGACAGGGAAGAGUAGAAGACGGUACCUGUCGAAUAAGCCACGGCUAACUACGUGCCAGCAGCCUCGGUAAUACGUAGGUGGCAAGCGUUGUCCGGAUUGACUGGGGGUAAAGGGCGUGUAGCCGGGGUGACAAGUGAGAUGUGCAAUCCUGCGGCUUAACCGCAGAACUGCAUUUGAAACUGUUGAUCUUGAGUACUGGAGAGGCAGACGGAAUUCCUAGGGGAGCGGUGAAAGGCGUAGAUAUUAGGAGGAACACCAGUGGCGAAGGCGGUCUGCUGGACAGCAACUGACGGUGAGGCGCGAAAGCGUGGGGAGCAAACAGGAUUAGAUACCCGGGUAGUC
rnacentral:rRNA from 1 species